UGGAUCACCUCCUAACAGGGAGACAAUAACUGAUCGUGAUGUCUGAGUACUUUAUUCUCAGGCCCAUGAUCCUGUCAUCUCGAAGGUCGAUCGGUGCCUCAAUUUGAGGGUAAGAGAGAGGAUGAGCAAUCAUCUUUGAGACUUACCAAUCAAUUUCAGUUCCUAAACUUUGUCUAGGUCACCCCACAGGGCUGUCCGACUUGCUUGAAGCAAUUUGCUUGAGGCUAAAGUUUGACGCUACUGAGCGGUAGCAACUCCUGGGCCAUUAGCUCAGGUGGUUAGAGCGCACCCCUGAUAAGGGUGAGGUCCCUGGUUCAAGUCCAGGAUGGCCCAUUCGUGUUUGGGGGUUUAGCUCAGUUGGUAGAGCGCCUGCUUUGCAAGCAGGAUGUCAGCGGUUCGAGUCCGCUAACCUCCAUCCAAUGCUGUUGCUCUUCCCUCGGACCAUGCAUGCUCACAAGAGUGUGUGAGGUAAGGAGUUUUGCUGUUGUGUUGAUCUAGAUCGUUGUUCGCUGAGGAUUUCAGCUUCUUUUCAUUCUUGCCUUGUUCAAGGAUAAGUUGAAAAGACGCUGGAUUCAAGGGUGCCCUGGCAACAGGGCCAUUUGAAUGUCAGCAGAACCUUGACAACUGCAUAGUUGAAGUCUGGAAAUAAAGCAUCUCAUGGAUGCUUGAUUCAGAUCUUAAGUCAAGUCCAGCAAUGGAUUUGAUGAAGGAUGAGAAUCAAGAAAAUUCUAUUGAGUUUUUAGAGCCGAGAGCUUCCAGUUUUCUUCUGAGCCCGCCGAGGGUUUGGGAGUUUGAUCCUGGCAUUCAAACCGCAAGCGAGAGUCUGAGCAAUCAGGGUCGAAGGUUGUAGGUGAAUCUAGAGAGAAUAGGCCUCAACAGCCUGAAGAACUGGGAGUUGAAAUUGGUCAAGCUACAAAGGGCUCACGGUGGAUACCUUGGCACACAGAGGCGAUGAAGG
rnacentral:tRNA from 1 species